UGGCGGACGGGUGAGUAACGCGUGGGUAACCUGCCUCACACAGGGGGAGUAACAGUUGGAAACGACCGCUAAUACCGCAUAACCCGCUGGUACCGCAUGGUACUGACGGAAAAGAUUUAUCGGUGUGAGAUGGACCCGCGUCUGAUUAGCCAGUUGGCAGGGUAACGGCCUACCAAAGCGACGAUCAGUAGCCGGCCUGAGAGGGUGAACGGCCACAUUGGGACUGAGACACGGCCCAAACUCCUACGGAAGGCAGCAG
rnacentral:rRNA from 1 species